rnacentral:rRNA from 1 species
GGAUAGUUCAUCGGACCGCAUGGUCCGUUGAUGAAAGGCGCUCCGGCGUCACCUUGAGAUGGCCUUGCGGUGCAUUAGCUAGUUGGUGGGGUAACGGCCCACCAAGGCGACGAUGCAUAGCCGACCUGAGAGGGUGAUCGGCCACACUGGGACUGAGACACGGCCCAGACUCCUACGGGAGGCAGCAGUAGGGAAUCUUCCACAAUGGACGAAAGUCUGAUGGAGCAACGCCGCGUGAGUGAUGAAGGUUUUCGGAUCGUAAAACUCUGUUGUAAGGGAAGAACACGUACGAGAGGAAAUGCUCGUACCUUGACGGUACCUUACGAGAAAGCCACGGCUAACUACGUGCCAGCAGCCGCGGUAAUACGUAGGUGGCAAGCGUUGUCCGGAAUUAUUGGGCGUAAAGCGCGCGCAGGCGGCCUUUUAAGUCUGAUGUGAAAGCCCCCGGCUCAACCGGGGAGGGCCAUUGGAAACUGGAAGGCUUGAGUACAGAAGAGAAGAGUGGAAUUCCACGUGUAGCGGUGAAAUGCGUAGAGAUGUGGAGGAACACCAGUGGGCGAAGGCGACUCUUUGGUCUGUAA